rnacentral:rRNA from 1 species
CCUACGGGUGGCUGCAGUGGGGAAUAUUGCACAAUGGGGGAAACCCUGAUGCAGCGACGCCGCGUGAGUGAAGAAGUAUUUCGGUAUGUAAAGCUCUAUCAGCAGGGAAGAAGCAAGACGGUACCUGACUAAGAAGCCCCGGCUAACUACGUGCCAGCAGCCGCGGUAAUACGUAGGGGGCAAGCGUUAUCCGGAUUUACUGGGUGUAAAGGGAGCGUAGACGGUAUGGCAAGUCUGAAGUGAAAGCCCAAGGCUUAACCCUGGGACUGCUUUGGAAACUGUUAGACUAGAGUGCUGGAGAGGUAAGUGGAAUUCCUAGUGUAGCGGUGAAAUGCGUAGAUAUUAGGAGGAACACCAGUGGCGAAGGCGGCUUACUGGACAGUAACUGACGUUGAGGCUCGAAAGCGUGGGGAGCAAACAGGAUUAGAUACCCUGGUAGUC